GGCGUAAAGCGAGCGCNGGCGGUUUGAUAAGUCUGAAGUUAAAGGCUGNGGCUCAACCAUAGUUCGCUUUGGAAACUGUCAAACUNGAGUGCAGAAGGGGAGAGUGGAAUUCCAUGUGUAGCGGUGAAAUGCGUAGAUAUAUGGAGGAACACCGGUGGCGAAAGCGGCUCUCUGGUCUGUAACUGACGCUGAGGCUCGAAAGCGUGGGGAGCGAACAGGAUUAGAUACCNUGGUAGUCCACGCCGUAAACGAUGAGUGCUAGGUGUUGGAUCCUUUCCGGGAUUCAGUGCCGCAGCUAACGCAUUAAGCACUCCGCCUGGGGAGUACGACCGCAAGGUUGAAACUCAAAGGAAUUGACGGGGGCCCGCACAAGCGGUGGAGCAUGUGGUUUAAUUCGAAGCAACGCGAAGAACCUUACCAGGUCUUGACAUCCCGAUGCUAUUUCUAGAGAUAGGAAGUUACUUCGGUACAUCGGUGACAGGUGGUGCAUGGUUGUCGUCAGCUCGUGUCGUGAGAUGUUGGGUUAAGUNNNNNNACGAGCGCAACCCCUAUUGUUAGUUGCCAUCAUUCAGUUGGGCACUCUAGCGAGACUGCCGGUAAUAAACCGGAGGAAGGUGGGGAUGACGUCAAAUCAUCAUGCCCCUUAUGACCUGGGCUACACACGUGCUACAAUGGUUGGUACAACGAGUUGCGAGUCGGUGACGGCGAGCUAAUCUCUUAAAGCCAAUCUCAGUUCGGAUUGUAGGCUGCAACUCGCCUACAUGAAGUCGGAAUCGCUAGUAAUCGCGGAUCAGCACGCCGCGGUGAAUACGUUCCCGGGCCUNG
rnacentral:rRNA from 1 species